rnacentral:lncRNA from 13 species
AAUCUCGCUGUGUUGCCCAGGUUGGAAUGCAGUGACACAAUCUUGGCUCACAACAACCUCUGCCUCCCAGGUUCAAGCAAUUCUCCUGCCUCAGCCUCCCAAGUAGCUGGGACUACAGUGAGUACACAGUAAAGGCAAACAGCUUUUACUUCAAAAAAGCAGAUCCAUCUGCCUCCAAACUCACAGUUCAACGCUCAUAAAAUCUAAUCGUGAGCAAGGCGGCGCUGAGUGUCUGCACACCUUCAUACUCAGCGAGACAGGAACGCAUUUCAGCAAUUCCUGGUGGCUCGUAGGCAGCCCUGUCAUCUGUGAGCUGCAGAUCAAAGACUCAACCUCAGGAAGGGAAAUGAGGGGAAUUAGUGUCCCGCCAGGAGCCUCUCGCCCCACAGUAAGGACGGUAUUUUCUCAUCUUAAAGAGAUUCAGGCUUGGAGAAAAAAAAGGACUUUUGGUGAAAGAG